ACACUGAAUUGUACUGUGCCAGGGAUAUA
rnacentral:piRNA from 1 species